UCUGGAGAGGGAGCCUGAGAAACGGCUACCACAUCCAAGGAAGGCAGCAGGCGCGCAAAUUACCCACUCUCAGAUAGAGGAGGUAGUAAAGACAAAUAUCGAUGCAGGUCCCAUAUGAGGCUCUGUAAUCGAAAUGAGUGCAUUAUAAAUCCUACAACAAGGAUCUAUUGGAGGGCAAGUCUGGUGCAGCAGCCGCGGUAACUCCAGCUCCAAUAGCAUAUAUUAAUAUUGCUGCAGUUAAAAAGCUCGUAGUUGGAUCUGGGCAUUGGUGUGGAGGCUGUAUAUGUGCGGUCAUAUCGAGUUCUGCUUUGUAUGGUCGUAUGUUGCAGUAAUUCUAUGCCAUGUCUACUAGCUGUAUCUGUGUGAGGGUUUACUCUCGCAUAGAUGUUGACGAUUGUGGAGGUGGUUUUCAGUAAUGAUGCUAUCUUCCUUCGUUAAUAUGUGCCUUCAUGCCUUUAAACGGGUGUGUGGUACGGACAGCACGUUUACUUUGAACAAAUUUGAGUGCUCAAAGCAGGCCUUGUUGCCUGAAAAGUCUUGCAUGGAAUAAUAGAAUAGGACUUCGGUCCUAUUUUGUUGGUUUAACAGAACUGAAGUAAUGAUAAAGAGAGACAGACGGGGGCAUUUGUAUGGCAGCGCGAGAGGUGAAAUUCGUGGACCGUUGCCAGACAACCUAAAGCGAAAGCAUCUGCCAAGUAUGUUUUCAUUUACCAGGAGCGAAAGUCAGAGGUUCGAAGACGAUCAGAUACCGUCCUAGUUCUGACCAUAAACGAUGCCAUCUGAUGAUCCGUGGGAGUUCCUUUUGUGAGCCCACGGGCANUCCCCGGGAAACCUGUAAGAUUAUGGGUUCCGGGGAAAGUAUGGUUGCAAAGCUGAAACUUAAAGGAAUUGACGGAAGGGCACCACCAGGAGUGGAGCUUGCGGCUUAAUUUGACUCAACACGGGGAAACUCACCCGAACCGGACACUAUGGUGAUAGACAGAUUGGUUGUUCUUUCUUGAUUUGGUGGCUAGUGGUGCAUGGCCGUUCUUAGUUCGUGGUACGAGCUGUCUGGUUAAUUCCGUUAACGAACGAGAUUCUACCCUGCUAAUUAGUCCAUGUGUAACUUUGUGUGGGUUCCAUGUGGUUCAGCAAUGGAUCAUGUUGACCUGCAUGAGCAUGUGGUACUUCUUAGAGGGAUUGGUGGAUAGCCAAAUCACAAGAAAAAGAGCAAUAACAGGUCUGUGAUGCCCUUAGAUGUUCGGGGCCGCACGCGUGCUACACUGACAAUGGUAGAGAGUUUGAUUCCUAACUCGAAAGAGUUGAGGCAAGCUUUUCAAUUAUUGUCGUGCCUGGGAUCGGGGUUUGUAAUUAUCCCCCGUGAACCAGGAAUUCCUAGUAAGCACAAGUCAUCAGCUUGUGCUGAAUACGUCCCUGCCCUUUGUACACACCGCCCGUCGCUA
rnacentral:rRNA from 1 species